GAUGAACGCUAGCGGCAGGCCUAAUACAUGCAAGUCGAACGGUGUCUUCGGACAUAGUGGCGCACGGGUGCGUAACACGUAUGCAACCUACCUUACAUUGGGGGAUAGCCUUUCGAAAGGGAGAUUAAUACCGCAUAAGACAGUAGCUGGGCAUCCAGCAGCUGUUAAAGAUUUAUCGAUGUAAGCUGGGCAUGCGUCCAAUUAGCUAGUUGGUGAGGUAACGGCUCACCAAGGCAAUGAUUGGUAGGGUAACUGAGAGGUCAAUCCCCCACCCCGGGAAUGAGAUACGGGCCAGACUCCUACGGGAGGCAGCAGUAGGGGAUAUUGGGCAAUGGACGCAAGUCUGACCCAGCCAUGCCGCGUGCAGAGGAAGGCGUUAUGCGUUGUAAACUGCUUUUAUACAGGAAGAAACGACUCUUGCGAGAGGCAUUGACGGUACUGUAUGAAUAAGCACCGGCUAACUCCGUGCCAGCCGCCGCAGUAACAC
rnacentral:rRNA from 1 species